rnacentral:rRNA from 1 species
UACGAAGGUGGCAAGCGUUGUCCGGAGUUACUGGGCGUAAAGCGCGCGCAGGCGGCGGUGCUGGCCCGGCGUGAAAGCCCCCGGCUCAACCGGGGAGGGUCGUCGGGGACCGCACCGCUUGAGGGCGGUAGGGGCUGGUGGAAUGCCUGGUGUAGUGGUGAAAUGCGUAGAGAUCAGGCGGAACACCCGUGGCGAAGGCGGCCAGCUGGGCCGUCCCUGACGCUGAGGCGCGAAGGCGUGGGGAGCGAACGGG